AUUGAACGCUGGCGGCAUGCCUUACACAUGCAAGUCGAACGGUAGGGGGAGCAAUCCCCUGAGAGUGGCGAACGGGUGAGUAAAGCAUCGGAACGUGCCCAGUUGUGGGGGAUAACUACUCGAAAGAGUGGCUAAUACCGCAUACGACCUGAGGGUGAAAGCGGGGGACCGAAAGGCCUCGCGCAGUUGGAGCGGCCGAUGUCAGAUUAGCUAGUUGGGGGGUAAAGGCCCACCAAGGCGACGAUCUGUAGCUGGUCUGAGAGGACGACCAGCCACACUGGGACUGAGACACGGCCCAGACUCCUACGGGAGGCAGCAGUGGGGAAUUUUGGACAAUGGGCGCAAGCCUGAUCCAGCCAUGCCGCGUGCAGGAAGAAAGCCUUCGGGUUGUAAACUGCUUUUGUCAGGGAAGAAAUCCCUUGGGUUAAUACCUCGGGGGGAUGACGGUACCUGAAGAAUAAGCACCGGCUAACUACGUGCCAGCCGCCGCCGUAAUAC
rnacentral:rRNA from 1 species